AUGACGAAGGAAAUUUUUCAUAGUGUAGGUAUUUGGCGGUUAAUAAUAUUUGAUCAUAGACUUGCUUGUAACUUGACAUCAGAAUCUUGUUGCUUAUUAUCAAACUUCAAUCAACUAUCAUUUAAGACUGAAUCCAUUUAUCUUCAUCGCUUUCUUAUCUAUAGGGACGAACUCGAUAUUGUUGAAUCAUUUGCCUCAAGGUUGCCUGUUGAUACAUGGGUGAGCUGCAAGUUUGAAAUGAUUAACAGGCCAGUUGCUCCAGUACUAGUUCUCCUGCACAAGAAAUGA
rnacentral:rRNA from 1 species